CAGUUGAUACGUAUUAGGCAUCAACCUUUCCUCCUCGCUGAAAGUGCUUUACAACCCGAAGGCCUUCUUCACACACGCGGCAUGGCUGCAUCAGGGUUUCCCCCAUUGUGCAAUAUUCCCCACUGCUGCCUCCCGUAGGAGUCUGGACCGUGUCUCAGUUCCAGUGNGGCUGAUCAUCCUCUCAGACCAGCUAGGGAUCGUCGCCUUGGUGAGCCAUUACCUCACCAACUAGCUAAUCCCACCUGGGCAUAUCCAAUCGCGCAAGGCCCGAAGGUCCCCUGCUUUCCCCCGUAGGGCGUAUGUGGUAUUAGCAGUCGUUUCCAACUGUUAUCCCCCUCGACUGGGCAAUUUCCCAGGCAUUACUCACCCGUCCGCCGCUCGCCGGCAAAAGUAGCAAGCUACUUUCCCGCUGCCGCU
rnacentral:rRNA from 1 species